GCUUGGUGGAUCAGUGGCGAACGGGUGAGUAACACGUGAGCAACCUGCCCUGGACUCUGGGAUAAGCGCUGGAAACGGCGUCUAAUACUGGAUAUGAGACGUGAUCGCAUGGUCGUGUUUGGAAAGAUUUUUCGGUCUGGGAUGGGCUCGCGGCCUAUCAGCUUGUUGGUGAGGUAAUGGCUCACCAAGGCGUCGACGGGUAGCCGGCCUGAGAGGGUGACCGGCCACACUGGGACUGAGACACGGCCCAGACUCCUACGGGAGGCAGCAGUGGGGAAUAUUGCACAAUGGGCGGAAGCCUGAUGCAGCAACGCCGCGUGAGGGAUGACGGCCUUCGGGUUGUAAACCUCUUUUAGCAGGGAAGAAGCGAAAGUGACGGUACCUGCAGAAAAAGCGCCGGCUAACUACGUGCCAGCAGCCGCGGUAAUACGUAGGGCGCAAGCGUUAUCCGGAAUUAUUGGGCGUAAAGAGCUCGUAGGCGGUUUGUCGCGUCUGCUGUGAAAUCCCGAGGCUCAACCUCGGGUCUGCAGUGGGUACGGGCAGACUAGAGUGCGGUAGGGGAGAUUGGAAUUCCUGGUGUAGCGGUGGAAUGCGCAGAUAUCAGGAGGAACACCGAUGGCGAAGGCAGAUCUCUGGGCCGUAACUGACGCUGAGGAGCGAAAGGGUGGGGAGCAAACAGGCUUAGAUACCCUGGUAGUCCACCCCGUAAACGUUGGGAACUAGUUGUGGGGACCAUUCCACGGUUUCCGUGACGCAGCUAACGCAUUAAGUUCCCCGCCUGGGGAGUACGGCCGCAAGGCUAAAACUCAAAGGAAUUGACGGGGACCCGCACAAGCGGCGGAGCAUGCGGAUUAAUUCGAUGCAACGCGAAGAACCUUACCAAGGCUUGACAUAUACGAGAACGGGCCAGAAAUGGUCAACUCUUUGGACACUCGUAAACAGGUGGUGCAUGGUUGUCGUCAGCUCGUGUCGUGAGAUGUUGGGUUAAGUCCCGCAACGAGCGCAACCCUCGUUCUAUGUUGCCAGCACGUAAUGGUGGGAACUCAUGGGAUACUGCCGGGGUCAACUCGGAGGAAGGUGGGGAUGACGUCAAAUCAUCAUGCCCCUUAUGUCUUGGGCUUCACGCAUGCUACAAUGGCCGGUACAAAGGGCUGCAAUACCGUGAGGUGGAGCGAAUCCCAAAAAGCCGGUCCCAGUUCGGAUUGAGGUCUGCAACUCGACCUCAUGAAGUCGGAGUCGCUAGUAAUCGCAGAUCAGCAACGCUGCGGUGAAUACGUUCCCGGGUCUUGUACACACCGCCCGUCAAGUCAUGAAAGUCGGUAACACCUGAAGCCGGUGGCCC
rnacentral:rRNA from 1 species